rnacentral:rRNA from 1 species
GAUGAACGCUGGCGGCGUGCCUAAUACAUGCAAGUCGAGCGAACAGAUAAGGAGCUUGCUCCUUUGAAGUUAGCGGCGGACGGGUGAGUAACACGUGGGUAACCUACCUAUAAGACUGGGAUAACUUCGGGAAACCGGAGCUAAUACCGGAUAACAUUUAGAACCGCAUGGUUCUAAAGUGAAAGAUGGUUUUGCUAUCACUUAUAGAUGGACCCGCGCCGUAUUAGCUAGUUGGUAAGGUAACGGCUUACCAAGGCGACGAUACGUAGCCGACAUGAGAGUGUGAUCGGCCACACUGGAACUGCGACACUGUCCAGACUCCUACGGGAGGCAGCAGUAGGGAAUCUUCCGCAAUGGGCGAAAGCCUGACGGAGCAACGCCGCGUGAGUGAUGAAGGGUUUCGGCUCGUAAAACUCUGUUAUUAGGGAAGAACAAAUGUGUAAGUAACUGUGCACAUCUUGACGGUACCUAAUCAGAAAGCCACGGCUAACUACGUGCCAGCCGCCGCCGUAA